rnacentral:sRNA from 1 species
CUUUAACCCUGAUUGCAAUAGAAAUCCUUGCCUUUUUAGGCAAGAUUGACAUGGAAAGCAGGAAUAGGG